GGCCCAGUGGCGGACGGUCCGCGCCUGCUCCUAGUACAGUAACAUCGAAGAUGGUGCACGCAGGGGACGCUCGUUCGACUCGAGCCUGGGUCA